CUUGUUUAGUGUCUUUACGACAUAUUACACUAGCCGUUUGGCUCGUUAAAGGACUUCAAGAAUACACCAAAAGCAGCAACUAAACAUUUUAAUCCUGGGGACCUGGAUGUGAACCUGAGUGGCAGAUCUUUUGUGAUCACUGGGGCCAACAGCAGCGUUGGAAAAGCUACUGCCCAUGAAAUAGCCAAAAUAGGUGGGACGGUCCACCUAGUGUGUCGUAACAAAGGACGGGCAGAGGAGGCAAAAGAGGUCAUUGUGGAACAGAGUAAAAACCAGAAUGUCCAUGUUCAUAUUGUUGGCAUGUCCAGUGCAAGACAAGUGUGGGAAUUUGCUGAACGUUUUGCAAAAAGCAACAUCGUACAUUUACUGGUAAGUAUCUGUUGGGUGGAGGUAUCCCUCCAUGCCUUACACAUGUGUCAACCAGUGGAGGCUCCUCAGAG